CUACGGGACGCUCCAGUUAGGCAUAAUCUGCAAUGCGCGCAAGCGUGACAGUUUGAGCCAGAGUGCGUUUCAAUGAAAUGCUUUUGCCAAAUGCAAAAAGUUUGGCGAAUAAGGACUGGGUAAGACGAGUGCCAGCCGCCGCGGUAAUACUCGCGGUCCAAGUCGCAGCCACAUUUAUUGGGUCUAAAACAUCCGUAGCUUGCUUUGUAAGUUUCCUGUGAAAUUUUAUCUCUCAAGGGUAGAGCGCGCAGGAAAUACUGCAAAACUAGAGACAGGAAGACGUAAGGAGUAUGUUCAAAGCAGCGGUAAAAUGUUUUAAUCUUGAACAGACUAACAACAGCGAAGGCACCUUACGAGGACUGAUCUGACAGUAAGGGAUGAAGGCUAGGGGCGCAAAACGGAUUAGAUACCCCAGUAGUC
rnacentral:rRNA from 1 species